UUUGUCAGAUGAGUUUCACAUGAUGUGCUUAUUGGCUAGGGUUGGUGAAUCUGUCCCGGGAUCCUGUGAUCUUUAGGAAAGAUCAACCUCUUGCUCAUAAUUGACAAAUUGUUCCCAGAUAUCAGACAUCAUCAGACUUGUUAUUUCCAUGGUGCCAUAAACACAAAAGCAGAAGAGACAUAAAAGGUGUCGGGAGAUUACAGGGAAACACUUUGCUGAACAGAAGCAUGGAGCGCUAUCUUCAUCAGUGUGUUGUGCACCGCCAAGAGGAGAAAGCAUAUGGGUCUCCUUUCUCUUGAUCAGGCCACGAUAUACCAUCCACAUGAAACUUUCUACUGCUGAUGAAGAUGAAUCAAUUCUACACUGCCAAAGUGCCUGUCAAAGAUGAAGGAAACUUCUAGAAUGUUCUCGACUGCCACCAUUAACUUCUGCCAUUCUUGAAGGAUGAACCAAGAAUAGCCCCCAGUUUUACAAAAUGUCCUCAUCUUUAGGGAAAGAACUUGUUCACUCAACUUCAUGAUUUGCAUCUCUUUUUGCAAACUUUUAUUAGAAUUCCCUGUACAUUUCACUCUGUCUUGCCUGCCAGGCUGUAAGACUUUGGUGAAGAGGGAUCUUACCUUAUUCAUAUUUGCAUUUAGCAUAUAAAUACCUAAAUGCUCCAUUAAUGAUUAUGAAGGAAAUUAAAGCAAAUCAAACUGAAUUGAAAUGGGGAGCCAGCAGUAGUACUACCUCAGUAGUAGUGGGGAUAGAAAUGCACCUUCAGACCAAGUUUUCUAAGGCAGCCACAAAGCAAUAAGCAAGUGUGUUUUUCACUGAGGUCAGAGAUCUCUGUUGGUAGGGAGAUCACUGUAGGGAGUACAUAAAAAGAAAAACACCUUUAAGAAUCCUCAAAACAAUAAAUUGUCUCCUUAAAGGAAAGGUGAAGAGAGCAAAAUUUGACCCUGUGAUUUAAUUACUUAACACUUAAAUCUUCAAAGCAACUAUUCAAAGGGAACAUUACAUUAAAACAAAACAAAACAAAAAAACACCUGAGACCUAAAGUCACACACAAGUGAGCAGCAGAAUGAAGAUACAAACUCACAUCUGUCAGGCUCCAGGUUUUUUGCUCUUGAACACAUACCCUUGUUUCAGUCCCUGCAAGUCUUACUAUUCACACUUUAAAAGCCUGCAUUUCUAUGAUUAUAAUUAAAAAGUAUGUAUAAGCUGCAGAAUUGACUCACAGUCCCACUACCUGGAGAUAACCAAGUAAAUUUUACCAUCCAUUUUCUAUGAGAAGAAAUAAAUACAAAACAUAUUUUCCUAAUAUUAGAUCACUCUGUAUAUGUAACAUGGACGAAUAAAUUUUCCACUUUAUAUACUUUCUAUGUCCGACAUUCAUGUAACACAUAAGGUUUUUGCUA